GACUCUCAGCAAUGGAUAUCUCGACUCUCGCAUCGAUGAAGAACGUAGCAAAAUGUGAUACUUGGUGUGAAUUACAAAAUUCCGUGAACCAUCGAGUUUUUGAACGUAUGUUGCGCCCGAGGCCAUUAUGCCGAGGGCACGUCUGCCUGGGUGUCA
rnacentral:rRNA from 1 species